AAAAAAGCAGGGGUCUGUUGCCUAUGUGAACAGAUCUCUCGUAACCUUCAGGGAUAUAAUAACAUUGUUCUUGGGUGAACCUCUGCUCAUUGUUUGUGACUGAAGGUUCAGUAAAUGAUGGAACAUUC
rfam:Lupinus angustifolius cultivar Tanjil chromosome LG01, whole genome shotgun sequence.